UGAGGAAUAUUGGUCAAUGGGCGCAAGCCUGAACCAGCCAUCCCGCGUGAAGGAUGAAUGUACUAUGUAUUGUAAACUUCUUUUCUGCAAAGAGAAAUUGCCCUACGAGUAGGGUAUUGACGGUAUUGCAGGAAUAAGCAUCGGCUAACUCCGUGCCAGCAGCCGCGGUAAUACGGAGGAUGCGAGCGUUAUCCGGAUUCAUUGGGUUUAAAGGGUGCGUAGGCGGCUUCUUAAGUCAGUGGUGAAAUCCUGCGGCUCAACCGUAGAACUGCCAUUGAUACUGAUAAGCUUGAAUAUAGUUGAGGUAGGCGGAAUGAGUAGUGUAGCGGUGAAAUGCUUAGAUAUUACUCAGAACACCGAUUGCGAAGGCAGCUUACCAAGUUAUAAUUGACGCUGAGGC
rnacentral:rRNA from 1 species